UAUAGCGUGUGUUUCUAUUUGGGUUCUCAGUUUCUACUUUUUUUCUGCUACAUUUGAUGUGAAGCCUGACCCUCCUGUUUCUGAUCCCCUUCUUCCUACUGAAAAAGAUCCACUUUUUGUGAUUUCUUCAAAUAGGAAUUCUCAUUCUCCAGAAGUUUCAGGGGUAAACGUGUGACUUGAACAAGAAAUUAGGAUUGCAAUGGUUGUAGCUUCGACUCCUCUCGGGGUAAUUUUGCUGUUCUUCGCGGGCUUUUUGAUAUACAAACUGAAAAGGUUGAAGAAAUACCAUGAAAAAAACAAUCGCAGUCCAGCCAUUAAAAAACAAGCGGCUGGUGGACAGGUAGCCGA